rnacentral:lncRNA from 1 species
AUAAAUCAAGAUUUAAUUUUCCCAUGUAAAUAUUCCUUUCUCAAGUGCUAACACUGGCUGAAAUCAUUUUUCUUAAAGUUUGCCUACGAAGGCAUAUUGUUUUAGAGUUUGCCAAGCAUCCCUUCAAUCCGUAGCUACAAAUGGUACUUACAAUAUUGCAAUAAACCUACUUUUGAUGUAUCAUAGAUGGAAUGACUUAAGGAAAAAAAAGUGAUGCAUAGUUUAGGGA